rnacentral:lncRNA from 1 species
CCUCCUUCCAUUCUAUUUCUCUGUCUUUGCCAUUGAAGCAGAGUUGCCAGCCAUCUAUGGAUCCUAACUAAAUUGGUCCUUGUAAUACUCGGUAUUAUUUGCCAAGAUAUUGAAAAACCUCUAAACAGUGAGAAGCUCCCAGCCCCUUUUCUGUGUCUCUCAUCACCAGCUGCUGUGCCCUGAGGACACCCAGGCAGCCUAAGGAGAGGCCCACAGGUGAGAAACUGCAUGUGUGAGCUGAGCUUGGAAGUGGAUCUUCUAUGUUUUGCCAACAGCCACGUGACUAGUUUUGGAAGCAGAUUCUCCAGCCCCAGCUGCACCUGUGCCAGAGGCACCCAUUAAGCCGCACCUAGUUAAAUUCCUGACCCACAAAGACUUUGAAAUCAUAAAUGUUUGUUGUUUUAAGCUGCUAAGUUUUGAAGUAAUCUGCCAUGUAGCAACAUGAAACUACUUGGACCAAAUAUGUGUUUUUCUAAGCACAGGAAUA